ACCGCGGUUGCCCAGUUGGUAAUGGCAUCGGCAGUACAGAAUAUGCCGAAGGUCGCAGUUUCAAAUCCUGCCUGCGGCG